GACGAACGCUGGCGGCGUGCUUAACACAUGCAAGUCGAACGGGUCUGCCCUGUUUUUUGCGGGGUGGGUCAGUGGCGAACGGGUGAGUAACACGUGAGUAACCUGCCCCUCACUUCUGGAUAACCGCUUGAAAGGGUGGCUAAUACGGGGUGUUCUGGCUGUGCCGCAUGGUGUGGCUGGGAAAGAUUCACUUUUGUGGUGUUUUGGUGGGGGAUGGGCUCGCGGCCUAUCAGCUUGUUGGUGGGGUGAUGGCCUGCCAAGGCUUUGACGGGUAGCCGGCCUGGGAGGGUAGGCGGUCACACUGGGACUGAGAUACGGCCCAGACUCCUGCGGGAGGCAGCAGUGGGGGGUAGUGCACAAUGGGCGGAAGCCUGAUGCAGCGACGUCGCGUGAGGGAUGGAGGCCUUCGGGUUGUGAACCUCUUUCGCCGGUGAAGAAGGUCCUGCUCUUUGUGGUGGGGUUGACGGUAGCCGGGUUAUGAAGCGCCGGCUAACUACGUG
rnacentral:rRNA from 1 species